CUGCUGUGAAGGAUUAUGUGUCGAAGAACGCAAAGUCAAGUGACAAGGCAGAGAAUGCGUGAGUGGAAAAAGCAGCUUAUGCUUGGUAUAGUAGUUGAAGAAAUAAAAGGCUUCUGGCAACGAAGUUGAGCGUAAGAGUGAUGAUCAGGGAUGUACGUGUAUGAAGUCUCUUGGAUUUUCAUAGAUGUAAAUUGGCUCUAAUGACUGUUUGGUUUGUAAUAGUGAUAUUUAUAGCGAGGUUCGUCCGUCGGUUUUGAAAUACUUGGGUUCGGUAUUUUCUGCAUUUUCAUUUAAAAAGUGUUAUACCAUACUGAAAUGGGCUGGUAUGGUUAGGUUUCACUUUUCGACUUGUGUGACUUUGGUGUUACAUUUCAAAGUUGAUAUUCUGUCAACCAAACUUAUUAUUAUGAUUCAUGGAGUUUUCUCAGAUUCAAGCACGCAAGAAAGAAAAUUAAAAGAGGAUAAAUUAACUUAAAAUUUAAAACGUUACAUUUCAAGAUUUUCGUUCUUUACUUGAAAAGAAAAGUAAAGAAAAAU
rnacentral:lncRNA from 1 species